rnacentral:rRNA from 1 species
UACGAAGGGGGCUAGCGUUGCUCGGAAUUACUGGGCGUAAAGCGUGCGCAGGCGGUUUUGUAAGUCUGUCGUGAAAUCCCCGGGCUCAACCUGGGAAUUGCGAUGGAGACUGCAAGGCUAGAAUCUGGCAGAGGGGGGUAGAAUUCCACGUGUAGCAGUGAAAUGCGUAGAGAUGUGGAGGAACACCGAUGGCGAAGGCAGCCCCCUGGGUCAAGAUUGACGCUCAUGCACGAAAGCGUGGGGAGCAAACAGG